rnacentral:rRNA from 1 species
AUUGAACGCUGGCGGCAUGCUUUACACAUGCAAGUCGAACGGUAACAGGCCUUCGGGUGCUGACGAGUGGCGAACGGGUGAGUAAUGCAUCGGAACGUGCCCAGAGGUGGGGGAUAACGCAGCGAAAGCUGUGCUAAUACCGCAUGUGAUCUGAGGAUGAAAGCGGGGGACCAGGCAGCAAUGUUUGGCCUCGCGCCUUUGGAGCGGCCGAUGUCAGAUUAGGUAGUUGGUGGGGUAAAGGCCUACCAAGCCGACGAUCUGUAGCUGGUCUGAGAGGACGACCAGCCACACUGGGACUGAGACACGGCCCAGACUCCUACGGGAGGCAGCAGUGGGGAAUUUUGGACAAUGGGCGCAAGCCUGAUCCAGCAAUGCCGCGUGCGGGAAGAAGGCCUUCGGGUUGUAAACCGCUUUUGUACGGAACGAAAAGGCGCUGGCUAAUACCUGGGGCUGAUGACGGUACCGUAAGAAUAAGCACCGGCUAACUACGUG